rnacentral:rRNA from 1 species
UAAGUAGGCGGAGGAAAUGACACAAACAUGGAUUCACUGAGUAACUGCGAGUGACAUGUGAUUUGCUCACAGCUGAUAUUCUUUGCUGUCUGCUUUGACAUGAGGACUUUGAGUGCGGUGCCAAUGGUGGUGUAAGUGUGAGCCAUCUUGGAAAAGAGGAGAGUGUGCACUGACAAGGGUGAGAAGCCUGUGUGUGCUUGCAAAAUCUCCAUAUGGGGGUCACGCUUUGAGAAUCAUGCUCUUUGGAAGUGGAGUGUAAAGUGGGUGGUAGACUCUUCUCAAAGCUGAGUACAGAACUGGGACCGACAGGCAAGAAGUACCAUGAGGGAAGUGUGAAAAGGACUUUGGAAAGAGACUUAAAAGAGCCUGUACUUGCUGAAGGAUAUGCAUACAGCAUGCUUGCAUGUGAGAUGAUUGCUGUGUGUAUGAGUCUGACUUUGGCUGGAUGGCCAUGGCCGUGUGCCAUGGACACUUGGCCACCCAAUGUGUAUCCUCUUGUGUGUGCCAGCAUGUGGGAGACAGUCAGUGUUUGAGUGCAGUGGUUGCUGUGUCUGGGGAUACAUCAGAUGUGCACUCAAAGAUCUGAGCAUGUUGAGAAGCAGGUGCAGAAGGGCCCUCCUGUCUGUAUGACCCGUCUUGAAACACGGACCAAGGAGUCUAGCAUGAGUGCAAGCAUAUGGGACCGAAGGCUCUGUGUGCAAUGAAGGUGGAGUCCCAGAUUUGUGCAUGAGUGUUCAAACAAGCAGGAGGACAAGGUUUGAGUCUGAGCAUUCCUGACAGGACCCGAAAGAUGGUGAACUAUGCCCGGAAAGGGCCAAGUCAGGGGAAACUCUGGUGGAGGCUCGUAGCGUUACUGACGUGCAAAUCGUUCGUCACACCUGGGUAUGGGGGCGAAAGACUAAUCGAACCAUCUAGUAGCUGGUUCCCUCUGAAGUUUCCCUCAGGAUAGCUGAACUUGCAGGACUUUCACCAGGUAAAGCGAAUGAUUGGAGGAAUUGGGGGUUGCAGACCUUUGACCUAUUCUCAAACUUUUAAUGGGUGUGUUGCGUGGUUGCUUAGCUGAACCAACAGCUAAUGAUGACUCUUAGUGGGCCACUUUUGGUAAGCAGAACUGGCAAUGAGGGGUGAACCUGAUGAUGGGUUAAGGCACUGAAGUUCUUGCUCAUCAGAAACUGUAAAGGGUGUUGGCUCAUUCUGACAGCAGGUCGGUGGUCAUGGAAGUUGAAAUCCGCUUGGGAGUGU